rnacentral:rRNA from 1 species
UACGUAGGGUGCGAGCGUUGUCCGGAAUUAUUGGGCGUAAAGGGCUCGUAGGCGGUUUGUCGCGUCGGGAGUGAAAACACUGGGCUUAACUCAGUGCUUGCUUCCGAUACGGGCAGACUAGAGGUAUGCAGGGGAGAACGGAAUUCCUGGUGUAGCGGUGAAAUGCGCAGAUAUCAGGAAGAACACCGGUGGCGAAGGCGGCUCUCUGGUACGUGACUGACACUGAGACGCGAAAGCGUGGGGAGCGAACAGG